GCGGCGGACGGGUGAGUAACACGUGGAUAACCUACCUAUAAGACUGGGAUAACUUCGGGAAACCGGAGCUAAUACCGGAUAAUAUUUUGAACCGCAUGGUUCAAAAGUGAAAGACGGUCUUGCUGUCACUUAUAGAUGGAUCCGCGCUGCAUUAGCUAGUUGGUAAGGUAACGGCUUACCAAGGCAACGAUGCAUAGCCGACCUGAGAGGGUGAUCGGCCACACUGGAACUGAGACACGGUCCAGACUCCUACGGGAGGCAGCAGUAGGGAAUCUUCCGCAAUGGGCGAAAGCCUGACGGAGCAACGCCGCGUGAGUGAUGAAGGUCUUCGGAUCGUAAAACUCUGUUAUUAGGGAAGAACAUAUGUGUAAGUAACUGUGCACAUCUUGACGGUACCUAAUCAGGAAGCCACGGCUAACUACGUGCCAGCAGCCGCGGUAAUACGUAGGUGGCAAGCGUUAUCCGGAAUUAUUGGGCGUAAAGCGCGCGUAGGCGGUUUUUUAAGUCUGAUGUGAAAGCCCACGGCUCAACCGUGGAGGGUCAUUGGAAACUGGAAAACUUGAGUGCAGAAGAGGAAAGUGGAAUU
rnacentral:rRNA from 1 species